AGGACGAACGCUGGCGGCGUGCUUAACACAUGCAAGUCGAACGAGGUGCUUGCACCUAGUGGCGAACGGGUGAGUAACACGUGAGUAAUCUGCCCCUAGCUCUGGGAUAGCUCCGGGAAAACCGGGAUUAAUACCGGAUACGACCACUUUAGACAUCUGUUGUGGUGGAAAGAAUUUUGGCUAGGGAUGAGCUCGCGGCCUAUCAGCUUGUGGUGGGUAACGGCCUACCAAGGCGACGACGGGUA
rnacentral:rRNA from 1 species